UGGGGAAUCUUGCACAAUGGGGGCAACCCUGAUGCAGCGACGCCGCGUGAGCGAUGAAGCCCUUCGGGGCGUAAAGCUCUUUCGACCGGAACGAUAAUGACGGUACCGGGAGAAGAAGCUGCGGCUAACUACGUGCUAGCAGCCGCGGUAAUACGUAGGCAGCAAGCGUUGUUCGGAGUUACUGGGCGUAAAGAGUGCGUAGGCGGUUUUCUAAGUUCGGUGUGAAAUCUCCCGGCUUAACUGGGAGGGUGCGCCGAAGACUGGGAAGCUGGAGUGUGGGAAAGGCAGGCGGAAUUCCUGGUGUAGCGGUGAAAUGCGUAGAUAUCAGGAGGAACACCGGCGGUGUAGACGGCUUGCUAGACCAUAACUGACGCUGAGGCACGAAAGCGUGGGUAGCAAACA
rnacentral:rRNA from 1 species